rnacentral:rRNA from 1 species
GGUCAAGUUACUAAGAGCAUAUGGCGGAUGCCUUGGCGCUCAGAGGCGAUGAAGGACGUGGGUGGCUGCGAUAAGCCACGGGGAGGAGUUAACCAUCCCGUGAUCCGUGGAUCUCCGAAUGGGAAAACCCAAUACCGGACCAGGUCUCCUGGCACCGAGUAUUACUCUGAAUAAGAGAGCGAACCUGGGGAACUGAAACAUCUCAGUACCCAGAGGAAAAGAAAUCAAACGAGAAUCCCCUAGUAGCGGCGAGCGAAGCGGGACGAGCCUAAACCGUGUAUGUGUAAGUUUGCCGACGUUGCAUGCACGGCGUUGUGGGGCCUUAUUGGAGGAAUCGGCAAGUUCCUCGGAAAGUUACAAAUCGCUUUGAUAGUGGAACCGUCCUGGAAAGGCGGACCAUAGAGAGUGACAGUCUCGUACACGAAAUUGAAGCGACUUUCUGGAUAAGGUACCCGAGUACGGCGGGACACGUGGAAUCCUGCUGGAAUCUGGGAGGACCAUCUUCCAAGGCUAAAUACUACUGAGCGACCGAUAGUGAACUAGUACCGUGAGGGAAAGGUGAAAAGUACCCCCGAUAGGGGAGUGAAAUAGUACCUGAAACCGUAUGCUUACAAGCAGUUCGAGGGCUAUGGCCUUAUGGCAAUGCCUGAGAGCGUACCUUUUGCAUAAUGAGCCAACGAGUUGCUGCUCUGUAGCAAGGUUAAGUCGAAGGAGACGUAGCCGUAGCGAAAGCGAGUCUGAAUAGGGCGUUUAGUUGCAGGGCGCAGACCCGAAACCAGGUGAUCUAUCCAUGGGCAGGGUGAAACGUGGGUAAAACCACACGGAGGCCCGAACUCACCGGCGUUGAAAAGCCGGGAGAUGACCUGUGGAUAGGAGUGAAAGGCUAAUCAAACCUGGAGAUAGCUGGUUCUCCCCGAAACAUAUUGAGGUAUGGCCUCGGUGAAAUCAGGAGCGGCGGUAAAGCACUGGAUGGGCUAGGG